rnacentral:rRNA from 1 species
GUGUCAGCCGCCGCGGUAAUACGUAAGGGGCAAGCGUUGUCCGGAAUCACUGGGCGUAAAGCGCACGUAGGCGGUUUGCCAAGUUGGGGGUGUAAGCUCUGGGCCUAACCCAGAAAUUGCCUCCAAAACUAGCAUACUUGAGUAUUAGAGGGGAAGCUGGAAUUCACGGUGUAGCGGUGAAAUGCGUAGAUAUCGUGGAGAACACCCGUGGCGAAGGCGGGCUUCUGGCUAAUUACUGACGCUGAGGUGCGAAAGCUAGGGGAGCGAACGGGAUUAGAAACCCCGGUAGUCC